UUUUUACAACACAGAAUACACAAGGACUGCCACAAGUGACAGUACAAGAGCAUACCUAACCAUUUUGUUCAGCAAAAUACUCUUGAUCUCUUUAGCACUCCCACUUCCCAGGACAGGUCCUCAAAGUCCUUGGAAACAAGGAAGACAGCACAGGAACUUAGCAGCACUCUUAGCAGCAGCACUUAGCUCACUGGUACGCUGUGACAGAUCUGCACAGCAGCCUCAUAGCCAGAAUAUUCAUUUCUGGAGCAUGGAGGAUCUCGGCGUGCUUUACAAACAACAUUUAAUUGCCAUAAUCCCCAGUAAAAGUAUUAUAUCUAGUUCACCAGUAGAUAAACUGACGCACACAGAGCUUAGGGGACUUGCCCAAGGUCACACUCUGAGUCAGUGGUGAGCUGGUGACAGAGACGUGACUCGGGGCAGACGGCAGGACCGGGGCUGAUGCUGUGCCUGCCUGGCCCGGCCCCGCCGGCGAGGCCUCUCCGGGGCGAGGAUCAGCAGCUGGACUGACAAACGAGUGCGAGAGGGGAGGGUAGGUGGAGAAAUCCCCUGGUGAAGUGUGGCUGAUCUUCCUCUUAGAAGAUGCUCAGCCACAAUGGUACAUCCACCUGGGCUCACUGUUUAUUUUUACAGCUCAUUGGAAGAUGCACGUUGGCAGCCCAGAAAUGUGCAGCUACAGGUUGUCUACUGAGGCACGUUACAGAUCCUUGGAAGUCAAUGCAAAGUGUCCAUGUGCCUCUGCUGAGGACAACACUGCUGACCAGGAAGCAAGAGAGGAGUCUCCCUUCAUCUCCCUCAUUUCUUUGUCUCCUCUCCCUGCGAGAUUAGAGGUGGUAAUCUCCUACACAGACACUUUGGAGGGACCUGCAGGUACCAAACUCUCUGAGAUACAACCUUCAACAGUGCCUGGCUUGGGAAGCAGGGUCUCUCCAGAACGUCUUCGCACGUGUGAGCACCUGUUUGUACGCAGUUAUCUGCUUUGCAUGUGA
ensembl:lncRNA